AUGCUUAACACAUGCAAGUCGGACGAGAAGCAUCCUAGUGGUGUUUUUAGUGGCGGACGGGUGAGUAACGCGUGAGAAUCUGCCCUUGGGAGGGGGACAACAGCUGGAAACGGUUGCUAAUACCCCAUAGGCUGAGGAGCAAAAGGAGGAAUCCGCCCAAGGAGGGGCUUGCGUCUGAUUAGCUAGUUGGUGAGGCAAUGGCUUACCAAGGCGACGAUCAGUAGCUGGUCUGAGAGGA
rnacentral:rRNA from 1 species